CGUGAUCACGUGUACUCCUGAAAACGGGAUUUCGCACCGCCAGGGCAGAGAGGCCCACCCAGCUGCGCUCGUCGCACGCGCACAGGUGCCAAAUAGAUAUAACAAAAUAGAAACAGAAUAAUUAAAAAAAAACAAAACUUGACUUGACAGUAACCUGUGAUGCAUUAUUAAUGACUACCUAUGGAGACAGUAUUUAUUAUACAAAUACAUAAAUAAAACCAAUAGUUUGUAUAUAUUAUUGCACAUGCCAUCGCCGUGUUCAAGCAGAUCCAGGAACAAUGGAAAUCCUACCUUACGCACUGAGGAUAAGGUCGUGACCUCGGAUAGGCGGUGGGAGAUUGUUAUAUAUGUCGCUCGAGAGAUAUUUAAAACUAUGGCGAAACAUGGCAGAUUUAUGUUUGGG